rnacentral:lncRNA from 1 species
CCCCGGAGGGGCGGCUCCUUGGCCAGGGAAGGAGGCGGGAUCUGCUUGCCAGCGGGCGUCUCCGCUUAGCGCUCUCUCCAGAAACCGCUGGGCAGUCUCCUGGGUGAGCGCCAGACGCCUGGGGUCCGUUUGCCGCCUGCUGAGACUAGACAAGGACCCCGGGAGGGCGACGUUGGGGGAGAGGGCUACGGAUGGAGGUCCCGCCGCGCUUGGGCCGGGUCCGGAGCCACCAGGACGCACAGCGGGCACAGAGCUCAACACUUUAUUUGCUCCCUGUCAUUCAAUGCUAAUAAUACCAAUAUUCAGUGAAAAAUACUGGAGCUUAAAGGUCAGAUCACUUGUCCAGAGUCACAGAACAGAAGCCCAAGUAAUCUGGUAUAACAGCCAGGCUUUUUUUCUACUACAACAUUCUUCAUCCUGUAUGACAUUUUGAAAUCUGGAAUUAGAAGAGUGGAGUUCAUGUGUCGCCUGAAAUGAUCCUCAUGGUUUCCCUCAUUCUCAGUCAGGUGGUUGAGUUAUCCAAGCCUUCAUAACCAGAGGGUCUGAGCACUUGUUGGACUGUGCUUACUGCAGCUUCUCAUUUACAAUUACCACUGCACCUGAGAGUACCAAGAGAUUCCUGAGCCAGAGAUUACGAUUUCCAACUUCCAGCUCCUCAAGGUUUCAAUAUCAGGAUGAUGCCAGCCUCAUAAAAUGAGUUAGGGAGGAGUCUGAGAGGAGCUAUUAGAGCUUUACAGGCUUUUGUAUCAUAUGUAGAAAGCUGAAACUGGAUCCCUU